UACGGAGGGUGCGAGCGUUGUCCGGAAUCACUGGGCGUAAAGGGCGCGUAGGUGGCGCGGAAAGUCAACGGUGAAAGUUCGGGGCUCAACCCUGAAUCGGCCGUCGAUACUGCUGCGCUUGAGCACUGUAGAGGCAGAUGGAAUUCCGGGUGUAGCGGUGGAAUGCGUAGAGAUCCGGAAGAACACCGGUGGCGAAGGCGGUCUGCUGGGCAGUAGCUGACACUGAGGCGCGACAGCGUGGGGAGCAAACAGG
rnacentral:rRNA from 1 species